AUCCUUUUGUAGUUCAUAAGCGUGAUGAUUGGGUGUUCACGCCACUGUGUGACAUGUGCCACCCUUAAACCUUGUUACAUCGGCAUAUUACCUGUCUGAUG
rnacentral:snoRNA from 1 species